rfam:Solanum tuberosum cultivar DM 1-3 516 R44 scf00790_1, whole genome shotgun sequence.
GUGAGCCGUGUGAUGGGAAACCUUCCCGCACGGUUCGGAGAGCACUGAAUUAGAAUGAGAGGUUUACCACUGAC